GUUUGAACGGGAUUCCUUCAGCUUCACUUCCAUUAAUUUGACUCAUAUAAGAUUUUACCAUAAGAUUUUGGAGGAAACGAAAAUUCAAGGCCAUGUUCCACUGGAAAUAUUUUUUAGUGUUCCCAUGUUGUAUAACAGCACACCCAUGAGAGAUUUUAUUGAAGUCAAACACCCUAUCAAACCCAUUCGUGGAUUAUCUGGCCAUUUUCUUCCACUAAACGUCACCUGGACCAUGUCUACUUAAAUUAGGAGUCUUUCUACGCGAAGUAAGCUGCUAAGGCAGCGAGACGAAUCAGAACAUAAUCUUGAAGGAUGACAAACGGUGGAAAGCGACGUUUUUCGCUUAACCACCAAAAGGACCGGCAUAGUUCACCUACAGCAAUGCUAGUAACACCAACCGAGCCAGCAAAUAGCAUCAUUCUGUCUGGCUCCCAAAUCGGCCGAUUACUUAUUCAUGAGGUCAUGUAAUAGUUGUCAGUGGUGGGGAUUAACCAUGAAGUCCGUUGUUGGAUGCCUGAUGCAAGCUAUGGCCUUCCGGUUUUCUUUUCUCUUUUUAAAGAUAUAUUAUGUAUAUGUGCACACUCAAGGAAUCAACAUGCAUGUCUUUGACGUCGUGUUGUUUUACAAGCCAGGAGCAUUUUGUAUCAACAUGACUUCUUUCAUUUUUAAGGCAAUGCUUUCUACAUUGAUGACUAACUCUAGCUACGAGCUUUGC
rnacentral:lncRNA from 1 species